ACCCCCAUAGCUCAGUCGGUAGGUAGAGCAUGGGACUCUCAAUCCCAGGGUCGUGGGUUCAAGCCCCAUGUUGGGCGCC